UACAUCCGAGAGUAAUAGUACAGGUCACGAGAAUGUCCGGCCCACAGAUCAUAGUAUUCUGACAAAUUUGGCCCCCGGAAAAAUAUAGUUGAAUAGCCUUGCUCUAGGGCAUCAUAUCUCACCCAU